UACAUGAAACGGCAGCAUAACACAUGCCCAACUCUCCCCAACCAAACUCAGUUCAGUUUUGCAUUCUGGCCUGGAAGGAAGACUCUGCAGCUCUCCUCGCAGACCACGAAUUCAGACGUAUCGCGUACCUAUCUGUAACAAUCCGCAGAGAGAAAGUUUAUAACGGAGCCGUCAACUCGGACCACGCUGAGAUCAUCAUACGCCGUCAAAAAGAAAGCAGUGCAGCCAUAGUAAAAUUAGACAUAUAUCCGUCAGCAUAUUGGAGUGAAGAAGGCGGAAUAAGGAGACUAGCCAAACAAAGCGACUCCUAUCGCAGUAAAGUGUGGAGGUAACUUUGCAAAGUAUGUUUUUCGACCCACCCGACCAACCGACCGAGAUUUGGACAGUUGUAGUAGAGUAGAAUACAGCUAAAACCCUACAUUAGCGGAAAAGAGAGGAGAAAGUCAACUUGUUUUCAUCUUAGAAAUUCCAAACCAGCAUCAAGUCAACUCCCACGAUUUCCAUUAAAUAUCCACCAUACUUUCUCCUUCUUCCUCUCCUUCUUUGUGCGGAAUGGAUGGGCAGCAGGGCAAAAUAAAUACUUGAGUCAAGUUAACCUACGACUGUGGAAAAUUGACUACUUUUACUCGUCUUCUUCCAUCCGACGAAAUAAGAAUACGGAGAAGAACCAUCAAACUGGAGAGGAGCGAGCAAAAGUGUCAUACGUUUUCAUCUCUGACGACUCCUCCCUUGUCACAUUGAUUGCUUUUCUACUCACUGAACAUCAAAUAAUAAUCGCAAAAAAAAAUCAUCCAACAAGACAAAACAUUAGUGAAUUUUCGUUGCAUCCGAACAACAUAUCCCAAGCCAAACUCAUGCAUGCUUGCUGAUUGAUUGACAAUCUCAUUUUAAUUUUGAAUUUGUCAUCUACAUUCUACCCACUAUAGUGAAACUCUUGAGAUAAUCCUUGGAACACAGUGUACGAGCACCUAGAACGACUACAUAUUCAGCAGAACCAAGACUGACCUGUCAAAUCAUAGGGAACAGAGCGUCAUACACCAAAAUAAAUUGAACGCAUCGUACUAAUAAUAAUUGCCAAAUUGUGUAUAUGAACCCGAACCAUCUGUGGUGGAAGGGCAGACGGAGUAAAGCAUUAACAAACUAUAUUCCAACCCCACGCCAAUUUUUUUGCGAGGACAUAUUUUAUACACCACCAGCAAUGAAUCGGUGUGUGGAACGUGCUAUUGCUAUAAUAAAAAUGCACCGCACAGAGAUUCGUAGUGAGUUUGUGAGUGCGAUACGUACAUAAAUACAGCGAGAAGAUUUUGUUCUGUCUAAGCACCAAGAGCAGCCUCCCCCUUCGUCAUCGGCGUCGUCAUCAAUUUCAUACACCAACCAACCACACCGGCAGCCUAAAGGAAUAUCCUUCACCUUUAUGCAUGAGUUCAGCUGCGAAUUGUCUCUCAGUGCAGAUUUAUGAGAGAAUAGCUGCCCAGAGUGAAAGCGACAACACACUGCAACCAAAACCUCACUUCUGCUGCUGGUCCUCACUCACUAAUAGCUGUUAAAAGUCUCUACAGGAAUAAUGGGUGAACCUGGAGAAGCUUCCGCUGGUGGAGCUGUGGGAGGAGGGGACCCUCGUCUGGAAUCAAUUGACCCCGAAUUAGUGGCAAGAAUGACGGAAGACGAAAUUAAGAAAUUUAUUGAUACGGGUCGAACCGGGAGAAGAAAUGCGUUGCCGGAUGUAAAUCAGCCAGAUAAUGUGACAACCUCGACCGCCGGUAUGGCGGAAGCGCUAGAGUCACUUUCUGUCGGGCCAUCCAAUCCGGAGGACAAGAAAGAAGAAGCGAGUACAUCUGGGGCGUCUUCUGGGGGCUCCUGAUCUUAAUCAGACUUUCACUCCCACCUCGCAAAACUCAAAUCUAUCCAAAUACCUGUCUGUAUUAAGUCAAGUUAUUGAGAAGUAACUUGCCCAUUUCUUGAUAUUACUAAGUCAUAGAAAUACUAAUUAUAGGCAACCCAAACUAGUACCCACACACAACAACAUUCGUAUAUGUACAUACAUGAUACACUGUAAGACGUGUAGUUGGGCAUCUAGUCGGUUUUGUAUGAGAUAUCCUUGUGAUAGAGAUGUUUUGUGCUGGGUUACAAAUAUUUAUCCAGGUUUGCAGCGUAUUAGCGCGUAGUGUUUUAUGAGUGGUGGUGGUGCGCCUGCUUAUUCUUCUCCUCCGUGCGUGAAUGCCAUUGGGAACCGGGCGCAAAAUAUUUGGAACCGGAUUCCAAGACGCAACAAACAAAUGAAGCUAAUUUACUCCAUCGAGUAUGAACAUGAUAACAUGAAACUUCGCCGAAAUUCCGUCGGAUGCAGACAAAACCACGACUUGAUGGCGAAAUUUAUACUCACCUCGUUCUCGCCGACCAAAUAUGCUGGAGACUAAAACAGCAUCCACCAAGGUCGGGACAACAAUGUAGACAGUGGUCGUUCGUCGACUUGAUCUCAGACUUGAAUCGCCAAUGAGAGGACAGUCUCACACCCUCGAGAAAAUGAUAUUUAUAAUGUGUCGCAUUUCUCUCUCUCUUAUUUCAAAGUACCUCGUCUCCCUCCGGGCUACCACACAUACAGAAAUACAUGUGUAACAAUAAGUGGUUAUUUCUAUGAUUAUUAGUGGGUGGAACAGUGUUCUAUAUAUUUUGUUAUUAACUAUCGUCACCUAUUUAGUAAUAGACUCCAGGUGGUAGAUGUACCUACGUAAAUGUAUACAUUUAGGAGACGAUAAUGUUUUAUCAUUUGUGUAAAUUAAGAACCCAAAUCGCGUUUUGCAUUUAUUAUAACAAUGUGAUUGUAAUAAAGGAAAUAAGUAUUUACGCAUAA